rnacentral:rRNA from 1 species
GUGGGGAAUAUUGGACAAUGGGCGAAAGCCUGAUCCAGCCAUGCCGCGUGUGUGAAGAAGGUCUUCGGAUUGUAAAGCACUUUAAGUUGGGAGGAAGGGCAGUAAGUUAAUACCUUGCUGUUUUGACGUUACCGACAGAAUAAGCACCGGCUAACUUCGUGCCAGCAGCCGCGGUAAUACGAAGGGUGCAAGCGUUAAUCGGAAUUACUGGGCGUAAAGCGCGCGUAGGUGGUUUUGUAAGUUGGAGGUGAAAACCCCGGGCUCAACCUGGGAACUGCCUCCAAAACUGCAUGACUAGAGUACGGUAGAUGGGAGUGGAAUUUCCUGUGUAGCGGUGAAAUGCGUAGAUAUAGGAAGGAACACCAGUGGCGAAGGCGACUACCUGGACUGAUACUGACACUGAGGUGCGAAAGCGUGGGGAGCAAACAGGAUUAGAUACCCUAGUAGUCC